rnacentral:rRNA from 1 species
UUAUAAGAGACAGCAGCCGCCACGGUAAUACGUAGGUGGCAAGCGUUGUCCGGAAUUAUUGGGCGUAAAGCGCGCGCAGGUGGUUUAAUAAGUCUGAUGUGAAAGCCCACGGCUCAACCGUGGAGGGUCAUUGGAAACUGUUAAACUUGAGUGCAGGAGAGAAAAGUGGAAUUCCUAGUGUAGCGGUGAAAUGCGUAGAGAUUAGGAGGAACACCAGUGGCGAAGGCGGCUUUUUGGCCUGUAACUGACACUGAGGCGCGAAAGCGUGGGGAGCAAACAGGAUUAGAUACCCCCGUAGUCCCUGUCUCUUAUAC